rnacentral:rRNA from 1 species
UGUGUAGGCGGUUGUCUAAGUUUGGUGUGAAAUCUCCCGGCUCAACCGGGAGGGUGCGCCGAAAACUGGAUGACUCGAGUGCGGGAAGGGAGAGUAGAAUUCCUGGUGUAGCGGUGAAAUGCGUAGAUAUCAGGAGGAAUACCGGUGGUGCAGACGGCUCUCUGGACCGCAACUGACGCUGAGACACGAAAGCGUGGGUAGCAAACAGGAUUAGAUACCCUGGUAGUCCACGCCCUAAACGAUGCAUAUUUGGUGUAGGUCAUUCAGUUGAUCUGUGCCGGAGCUAACGCGUUAAAUAUGCCGCCUGGGGAGUACAGUCGCAAGGCUGAA